CCGGCAUCUUAGUGGCGGACGGGUGAGUAACGCGUGGGUAACCUGCCUUAUACAGGGGGAUAACACUUAGAAAUAGGUGCUAAUACCGCAUAAGCGCACGGGGCUGCAUGGCCCAGUGUGAAAAACUCCGGUGGUAUAAGAUGGACCCGCGUCUGAUUAGCUUGUUGGCGGGGUAACGGCCCACCAAGGCGACGAUCAGUAGCCGGCCUGAGAGGGUGGACGGCCACAUUGGGACUGAGACACGGCCCAAACUCCUACGGGAGGCAGCAG
rnacentral:rRNA from 1 species